rnacentral:lncRNA from 1 species
UCUCGAUCUCCUGACCUCGUGAUCCGCCCGCCUCGGUCUCCCAAAGAGCUGGGAUUACAGGCGUGAGACACCGCGCCCUGUCCGGCCUGUUAUUAUACAUAUGAUUGAUAUCUCGUGACUCCCUAAAAUGAAUACAACCAAGCUGUGCCCCGACCACCUUGGACCCACGUUGUCAGGAUCUCCGGAGGCUGUGUCAUGGGCCUGCGUCCUUAACUUUGGGAAAUAAGCCUCCUGAAAUGAUUAAGACUUGUCGUUUUUCUCGAUUGACAUCUGGUAAGCACUGAGAGAUCCUCAGUGAAGGUAACCCGGCCUGCAGCAGUUCGCCUAUUGAUCCUCGGUAUUGGCUUGGCACCUUAUUGCCCAAACUGGUAGGAUGAUUGCUGAAAUCUGGGACCUUGUUCCUCCAGGGAUCCCUGAUCUUCCAACGUUUUUCGGUGGGGGGUCUGAGGUUUAUUUGCUAUUAAAAAACUCCUUUUUUGGGAGUUCCCACUCGCUUCAUCAAGGAAGGCAAGCCUGCCUGCUUCUGCAUCGACAGAUAGCCGUCUUCAGCUUGAGCCCCAUCACUAGAGGAACCCUUAACAUUCAGGGAUGUGGCCAUAGAAUUCUCUCCAGAAGAGUGGAAAUGCCUGGACCCUGCCCAGCAGAAUUUGUAUAGAGAUGUGAUGUUGGAGAACUACAGAAACCUGGUCUCCCUA